GUAGGGUGCAAGCGUUAUCCGGAAUCAUUGGGCGUAAAGAGCUCGUAGGCGGUUCAGCAAGUCGGCUGUGAAAUCCCGAGGCUUAACCUCGGAACUGCAGUCGAUACUGCUGUGACUAGAGUCCGGUAGAGGAGAAUGGAAUUCCCGGUGUAGCGGUGAAAUGCGCAGAUAUCGGGAGGAACACCAGUAGCGAAGGCGGUUCUCUGGGCCGGUACUGACGCUGAGGAGCGAAAGCGUGGGGGUAGCAAACAGGAUUAGAUACCCUGGUAGUCCACGCCGUAAACGUUGGACACUAGGUGUGGCGUUCCGACCAACGGGUGCCGUGCCGAAGCUAACGCAUUAAGUGUCCCCGCCCUGGGAGUACGGCCGCAAGGCUA
rnacentral:rRNA from 1 species